rnacentral:rRNA from 1 species
AUUGAACGCUGGCGGCAGGCCUAACACAUGCAAGUCGAGCGGGGUUUUCGGACCUAGCGGCGGACGGGUGAGUAAUGCGUAGGAAGCUACCCGAUAGAGGGGGAUACCAGUUGGAAACGACUGUUAAUACCGCAUAAUGUCUACGGACCAAAGUGUGGGACCUUCGGGCCACAUGCUAUCGGAUGCGCCUACGUGGGAUUAGCUAGUUGGUGGGGUAAUGGCUCACCAAGGCGACGAUCCGUAGCGUGGUUUGAGAGGAUGAUCAGCCACACUGGAACUGAGACACGGUCCAGACUCCUACGGGAGGCAGCAGUGGGGAAUAUUGGACAAUGGGCGAAAGCCUGAUCCAGCAAUGCCGCGUGAGUGAUGAAGGCC